rnacentral:lncRNA from 1 species
UAACAGUCUAAAUUUUCAGAUGGGACGAUUAAGAAAAAACAAUUACCAUUACUGAUGUAGUCAUCAAUAUGAACACUGGAUGUCAAAUAUUAAAACCUAAAGAAAAUACAAUAUCAGGAUACUCCACAAAAUUCAGAUUAAUGUCAACUGUUCGGAAGAACCACACGCUGCAUAGUUGUUCACAGAAAAGAAUUCAAUUCCUAAGAAACCUGUAGCCAAUAUAUCUAAUUUUCUGUUCUAUUUAUUAACACGUCCAAAUAAGCCGAUCAUCCCCUUGAAUAUGCACCCACAACAGCCAAAACAAGCAGCAUGAGAAGCUUUUCCCCUAAAUCUAGAGAAGAUGUCUACUUGUCCAAGUAUUAUGGUCGACUAAAUAUCAAUGAUAUGCAAUAUUCUUGCAUUUUCGUUAAGCUUUAUUCCUUGGUAACAAUAACAAACCAAGCCUUCCUCCUAGUAAACCCGGGCUUGUCUACAUGAAUCUUUUAUCUCCUCCGUUCUAUCCACCUCUACAUGUACAGAAAGUUCCAAAAUCAAAUCUCUGCAAUUAAAAAG